GCCAGGAUGGCUGAGCGGUUAAAGCGUCCGCCUCGAAAGCGGAUCCCUUAUGGGUCAGGGGUUCAAAUCCCCUUCCUGGCG
rnacentral:tRNA from 1 species